CCUACGGGGGGCAGCAGUGGGGAAUAUUGCACAAUGGGGGAAACCCUGAUGCAGCGACGCCGCGUGAGCGAAGAAGUAUUUCGGUAUGUAAAGCUCUAUCAGCAGGGAAGAAAAUGACGGUACCUGAGUAAGAAGCUCCGGCUAAAUACGUGCCAGCAGCCGCGGUAAUACGUAUGGAGCAAGCGUUAUCCGGAUUUACUGGGUGUAAAGGGAGCGCAGGCGGUCUGGCAAGUCUGAUGUGAAAUACCGGGGCUCAACUCCGGGACUGCAUUGGAAACUGUCAGACUGGAGUGUCGGAGAGGCAG
rnacentral:rRNA from 1 species